CAACCCUCAAGCUCUGCUUGGUAUUGGGCGUCAUCGGUGACGAUGUGUCUAAAAGUUAGUGGCAGUGCUGCUCAGCUCUAAGCGUAGUAGAUUUCUCGCUAUGGAUGCUCGGGAGAUACUUGCUAUAGCCUCUAAAUUUUAA
rnacentral:misc_RNA from 1 species